rnacentral:pre_miRNA from 1 species
CCCCCAUCCAUGUGUGUAGGACCUCAAAAGAUCACCAUUAAAUUUGCUACGGAUCUUUAAAAAAGUUAUCACAUGAAGGUAAGACUUAAUUUUUUUAUAGAUCCGUAUCGAAUUUAAUGGUGAUCCUUUGAGGUCCUAUACACAUGGAUGGGAG